GACGAACGCUGGCGGCGUGCCUAACACAUGCAAGUCGAACGGAAAGGCCCUGCUUUUGUGGCGCGCACGUGAGGGGAAGGGGUGUGAAAAACGCGAGUAACACGUCCUUAAAUUUGGGAUAACUCUAGGAAACUGGGGCUCUAACAGGAUAGAAGAUAUUGCACCACGGGGGGGGAUGGAAAGUUUCGGCGGUGGGGGAUGGACUAGAGGCUUCUCAGCUGGUUGGUGGGGUAGUGGCUGACCAGGGCUUCGACGGGUAGCCGGCCUGAGAGGGUGACCGGCCACAAUACGACUGAGGUACGCCCCAGUCUCGUACGGGCCGCAGCAGUGGGAAGUAUUGCACAGUGGGCGCAAGCCUGAUGCAGCGACGCCGCGUUCGUGAUGACGGCCUUCUGGUUGUAAACCACUUUCGCCGUUGACGAAGCGUGAGUGACGGUAAUGAGUAAAAAAGCACCGGCUAACUACGUG
rnacentral:rRNA from 1 species